GGCCGGGUCCCGUGCAAGGGAGGGUCGCCCAACCCCGUCAGGUCCGAGAGGAAGCAGCGGUCCGCGAUUCCAACCUGUGCCGCGGGGGUGCCUGGCCCCC
rnacentral:SRP_RNA from 1 species